GACGAACGCUGGCGGCGCGCUUAACACAUGCAAGUCGAGCGGUAAGGCCCUUUCGGGGGUACACGAGCGGCGAACGGGUGAGUAACACGUGGGUGACCUGCCCUCAGCUCUGGGAUAAGCCUGGGAAACUGGGUCUAAUACUGGAUAUGACUCCACGGUGCAUGUCGUGGGGUGGAAAGCCUUGUGCGGCUGAGGAUGGGCCCGCGGCCUAUCAGCUUGUUGGUGGGGUGANGGCCUACCAAGGCGACGACGGGUAGCCGGCCUGAGAGGGCGACCGGCCACACUGGGACUGAGACACGGCCCAGACUCCUACGGGAGGCAGCAGUGGGGAAUCUUGCGCAAUGGGCGAAAGCCUGACGCAGCGACGCCGCGUGAGGGAUGACGGCCU
rnacentral:rRNA from 1 species